rnacentral:lncRNA from 1 species
CUGUCAAAAACAAAUCCAAGUCUGGAUCUCGCUCUCCUCGCUCAGGAUCUGCAUCAAGAUCUCGUUCUCGUUCAUGUUGGAAGUCUCGGUCCCUAAGGCCAUCUGUCUCUGGUUCAAGGAAGUGCAGGCUGAGUUCUAGGUCUCGUUCCAGAUUAUAUUCUCCAGCUCAUAACAGAGAAAGAAACCACCCAAGAGUAUAACCGAAUCGGGAUUUCCGAGGUCACAACAAAGGCUAUAUAGAAGGCCCUAUUAUUUCCGUGGGCGCAACAGAGGCUUUUAUCCAUGGGGCCAGUAUAACGGAGGAGGCUAUGGAAACUACCGCUCAAAUUGGCAGAAUUGCCGGCAAGCACACGGGCCGUUCAAGAUCCCGGUCCCCAGCGAGAAGGUCCCCUUCACCAAGGUCCAGGAGCCAUUCUAGAAACUCUGAUAAGUCGUCUUCUGACCAGUCAAGGCGCUCCUCAUCUUCCCGUUCUUCCUCCAACCAUAGCCGAGUUGAAUCUUCUAAGCGCAAGUCUGCAAAGGAGAAAAGUCCUCUUCCGAGGAUAGCCGGCCAUCUCAGGCUACCGGGGAUAACCAGGGAGAUGAGGCCAGGGAGCAGACAUUCUCUGGAGGCACCUCUCAAGAUACAAAAGCAUCUGAGAGCUCGAAGCCAUGGCCAGAUGCCACCUACGGCACUGGUUCUGCAUCAGGGGCCUCAGCAGUUUCUGAGCUGAGUCCUCGGGAGCAAAGCUCAGCUCUCAAAAGCCCCCUCCAGGCUGUGGUGGUGAGGCAGCGGUCACUCCUUCCUAGCCCCGUGCCAAAACCUAGUCCUCCACUUUCCAGCACAUCCCAGAUGAGCUCAACUCUGCCAAGCGGUGCUGAGUAUCAGCCUGGGACACACCAAGUUCAGUUCGACCGUGGUUCUUUGGUCCCUGAGUCCAUCCAAAAACAGCCCUGUGGGUAAGAAUUUACCAUCCAUUGGCUCCACAUAUGUCUCAUCUCAGAAGGAGGAGAGUGCUGCUCCAGGAGGAGCAGCCUGUACAAAGAGGUACCUAGAAGAGCAGAAGACAGAGAAUAGAAAAGAUAAGGAACGGAAACAAACAAAUACAGAUAAAGAAAAAAUAAAAGAGAAAAGGGAGCUUCUCUGACACAGACUUGGGUGAUGGAAAAAUGAAAUCUGAUUCUUUUGCUCCCAAAACUGAUUCUGAGAAGCCUUUUCGGGGCAGUCAGUCUCUCAAAAGGCAUAAGCUCCGAAGUGACUUUGAGAAGAAGAUGGCUGACUUCCACAAGGAAGAGAUGGAUGAUCAAGAUAAGGACAAAGCUAAGGGAAGGAAGGAAUCUGAGUUUGAUGAUGAUGAACCCAAAAUAUGUCUAAAGUCAUAGGUGCAAACGAAAACCAGGAGGAGGAGAAGUCAGGCAAAUGGGAGGGCCUGGUAUAUGCACCUCCAGAGAAGGAAAAGCAGAGGAAAACAGAGGAGCUGGAGGAGGAGUCUUUCCCAGAGAGAUCCAAAAAGGAGGAUCGGGGCAAGAGAACCAAAGGUGGGCACAAGGGCUUUCUGCCUGAGAGGAAUUUCUGAGUGACUGCUCACAAAGCGGUCCGGGAGAAAAGCUCUUUGCCUCCCCCAAGAAAGACUUCUGAGAGCCGAGACAAGCUGGAAGCGAAAGGAGACUUUUCCACAGGGAAGUCUUCCUUUUCCAUUACUCGAGAGACACAGGGCGAUGUCUGGAUGGACUCUUUUGAUGAGGACUUUGCACGACCCAAUGGCUUAUUGGCUCGGGAACGCAAGCUUUGCCAAGAUCUAGUCCAUAGCAACAAAAAGGAACAGGAGUUUUGUUCCAUUUUCCAGCACAUACAGUCAGCUCAGUCUCAGCGUAGCCCCUCAGAACUGUUUGCCCAACAUAUAGUGACCAUUAUUCACCAUGUUAAAGAGCAUCACUUUGGGUCCUCAGGAAUGACAUUACAUGAACGCUUUACUAAAUACCUAAAGAGACUAACUGAGCAGGCGGCAGCCAAAAACAAGAAAAGCCCAGAGAUACACAGAAGAAUAGACGUUUCCCCCAGUACCUGGCUACAACGCUGAGGGAAAAUACAAAGAUGAUCCUGUUGAUCUCAGCCUUGAUAUUGAACGUCAGGAGAGAGAUCUUAAAUUAGGUAAAUCGAGAGGAUCAGUGGAUUCCUGAGACUCCAGGCCCUCGAGGAAAAGGUCAGCUGAGAAAACAGAGAAAACUCAUAAAGGAUCAAAGAAGCAGAAGAAGCACCAGAGAUCGAGAGACAGGUCCAGAUCCUCCUCUUCCUCCCAGUCAUCUCACUCCUACAAAGCAGAAGAGUACACGGAAGAGACAGAGGAAAGAGAGGAAAGCACCACGGGCUUUGAGAAAUCGAGACUGGGGACCAAAGUCUUGGUGGGUCCAAGUGAAAGAGGAGGUGGCAGAGCUCGAGGAACCUUUCCAUUUUGAGCCAGAGGAAGAGGCUGGGGCAGAGGCAACUACUCUGGGAACAAUAAAAACAACAGCAACGAUUUUCAAAAAAGAAACCAGAAAGAGGAGUGGGACCCAGAGUACACACCCAAAAGCAAGAAGCAUUACUUGCAUGAUGACCAUGAAGGUGAAGGCAGUGACAAGUGGGUGAGCCGGGGCCAGGGGGAGGAGCCUUUCCUCCGGGUCAGGUCCGGUUCAUGUUCCAGAAAUCAAGUACCAGACCUAAGCUGGCCCAUGACAAAUUCAGUGGGGAGGAAGGGCAGAUUGAAGACAACAAGAGUGGGACAGAGAACUGAGAAGAGGACAAUUUAUAGCCCACAACCAAGUAG